CAUCGAAUUAUGGUGCGGAUAGUAUU
rnacentral:sRNA from 1 species